AAAUCUUGAGUCAUGAUGCCUGCUCUAACCACUGGAGAACACUACCACUCUUCACUUAUCAGAACUUUGCUACAAACUGAAGCUCUGAACAAAGGACUGAAUGACCCAUCCAAGCUGUGGAUGUAUUCCAGAGGGACUUUUAAGCCAGCAAACACACCAAUACUGCUAGGAAGCUGAUAUAUGGACUUUGAAGACUUUGUAUGCAGUAAAUCAUGGACCCCAAGAUUGGAGCAGAGGUGGAAGCAAAAUCAGGCAAAGAUUCUGAUUAACGCUAAAUAUACAUCACAAAUUAAAGAAGAAAAGUAUAAUCCUAACACUUCAUAGUAGAGCAGAACAUUUUAAAAAAUCAUGAAG